AUGAAGAAUCCUCGCAAAACCAAAUUAAUGUUGAAGGAUAAAGAUGACUGUUACAUAAAGCAAGCCCAGGCUGCAGCAUCCGAACGCCUCGAGCAGAUGGGCAGCAGCUUCACACAUCCCAUGGACCCGCAUGACAACGGAGGCACAACCGGCGGUGACGCAGGCGCUGCCUUCGUGGAGCUGCUGGGGGCACACGGACACGACCUGCUCCCCCCCACAACCUGCUCUGCCGCAGCCCCACGGAGCCCGGUUUGGGAUGAGCCACUGUUCAGCCCCAUCCGCGCCCCCACGUGCCGGGCAGUGCUGUCACAGUUACCCACGCUCCAGGGAAGAGGCUGCUGAGUGUCGGCGCAGCCACUGCCCCGAGGUGCGGAGCGCUGCGUAGCGGCGCAGUUCAUCCCAGCAUCACCGCGGCUGCGAAGUGCCGGUGGCACCAGCUGAAUUUCCGUGGCAAUCAAUGCGCCCGGGAGCAGCCAGCUCAGCCCUGCGUGGCUGCGGGAUGAGUAAGGGCUCCUCGGUGGAGGCCAUUAACUCCCACUGCUCGCUGCUCUCAUUACUUCCCAGACUGCGAGGCUUGCAUCUUUGACGUGCGGCUGCAUCUACAUCUGACAGCGUGAACCUGAUGAGUGGAAUUCACGGGAAAUGUUUGCUUUGGCAGGAACGAUCGGGCCCAUAAAGUUCCCUCAGCGCAAACAUAGAGGGAUGUGUGCUUUUAAUGAGUUGCUUUAUACAAUCAGGAAGAAACGGCCAACGAUAUUUUUUGCUCGUGCUGCAAAUCACUCGGGAGCGGAACGCUGUAAAAACCGUGGCGUAUCAUUUAAAAUAGGAGAGUUGUAGCUAUGGGAGGAGAGUCAGCAGGCACACAGCCGUCACCCACCACACGCAUGCACUGACACAGCCCAAUGCACACACAGCUGCUGGGUGUGCUCCAGGGCCAGCAGACGGCCCCCAGCCACCCCCACCCGUGGGCAGAGCAGACCCAGAGCUCAGCCGUAAGGCUGUGAACCCAGCCUGCUCGCAGCUCUGCGCAAAGUUCCCGGAGGUGAAAGCAAGGAAAGAAGCAUUUUCAGCACGGGGGUCUGAAGGUCCUGCUUUGCUCAGCUUAAGAGAGCACGGCUCGUCUGCAAGGUCACCGAGCUGCCACUGCCCUGGGGCAGAAGGAAUCCGGUAUAAAAGGAGCAGCACACACAGCAGCAUCUCCCGGUGCCAUCCAGCACAGGGCGAAGCAGGCUCUGGUAAGGUCUGCUGCUCCUCUCGAAGCUAUUUUUCUGGUUGUCUUUGAGAAAAUGAGGGGAAACGGCAUGGGAAAUGUCAGAAAUAAAGCCAGAAGCAAUUAGAGUUAGAGAGAAGCGGGAGCAGCAGGCAAGGUUAGCAGGAAAGUUAUCUCUUAUUAAAAAUAAAACACGGAGGGACUGCAGGCUGACGGGGUGGUGCGGAGGACAGGCUGGCAGCGAGGAUCCAGGGCACGCAGCAAAGCAAUUCACAAGGCAAUUGGAGCAGAGAAGCAGCCGGCAGGCUCCCAUUUCCAAGGCUAAACUCCUCAAAAAAUAAAAAAGCAGAGGGCGUCCUCUAUUUCUAAGAUUAUAGUCUUCUGCCGGCUCCAGCCCUGGAAACAGCCCUCCGAUUCCACCGCUCUAUUCGUCUUCCACAAAAGAAAUCCAAACUGGGAGGCACCCUGAAAAGCAUCUCAGGUGCUUCGCCCAGGAGCAGUUCCUAAGGUCAUAGUAGAGCUGCAGAUUCCCCAUCCUUCCCCAUGCAGCGCAUCCCCACCCACAGCCUGAGCCCACGGCGGGGGCACAGCCAUGGGGAUGGGGUUGGGGCCGCUGUGCCCACGGCUGUGGGUGCCCAGGACAGCACUGCGUGUAGCAGAUAAAAGCCAGAACACAACCGACGGUAAACACAGAUGUACAUCAGAACCCAAUGGCCUCUCCCGAUUCUUCAGCACAGAAAGAAAAUCUGAGCUCAAGUUUCACCUCUCAGGGCUUUAAAUCCAAAGCUCGAGCCCAGUGCCAAAGCCUCCAGCGACUCCAAAGGGCUGUGCAGAAACACCCUUGGCAUCACCCAUCCCACAGCGAGCAGGGCACCCUGCUGAGCUCCAGCUCUGAGGGACCCCCGGGAGCAGCAGGAGGGUGAGUGGCCCUCGAGGUGCUGCGCAGGGCUGCUCCAUCCAUCCAUCCAUCCAUCCAUCCAUCCAUCCAUCCAUCCAUCCACUCACCCACCCAUCCAUCCGUGUGCCCAUCCCACAGCCACGCAGACCCGCUCCCCAGGGAACCCCCAUAGCCUUGUGUGGGGCAGGGGGAUGCUCUGCAUGCCCGGGGAGCACAGCACAGUGCUGCUGAGAGCUGCACACACCGGGAGCUCCGUGGAGGCAGUGCUGCCUGACCCGCGCCCCACGCCAACGCUCGAUUGUUCCGAAUGGGACUUCUGAAAUACAAAAUUGGGUUGGGGGGAACAGAAAGCUGCGCACAUCGCACAGCAGCGUCCCUUUCCUUACCCUUACGUGCUUCACACACUGCUGCUUUAAAUGUAUUCUACCGAAACACGGUCAAAAUAAACAAAAAUCGGUAUUCCUGCAGCUUUAAGGACAGACAUGCAAGGAGAGGGCAGGGGCUGGGUAAAUAGCGCUCUCCAAACACAAUGCCACGAAAAUAACAAGAUUUCGGCUCAGAUGACUUCGCGGCGGUAAUGAAAAUGCGUUACAUAACACUUUGCCUCCGUCUCCUCCGCUUUGCAAUUCUCGAUUAAUCUACAAAACACAUCCGUCCGUCCGCGGGCGCCGUACACG
ensembl:lncRNA